GCUGGCUGUGGUGGUGCACACCUGUAAUCCCAGCACUUGGGGAGACAGAGGCAGACAAUCUCUAUGAGUUCGAGUCCAGCCUACUCUACAAAGUGAGUCCUGGACAGCCAAGGCUACACAGAGAAACCCUGUCUUGAAAAA
rnacentral:sRNA from 1 species